GACGAACGCUGGCGGCGUGCCUAAUACAUGCAAGUAGAACGCACAGUUUAUACCGUAGCUUGCUACACCAUAAACUGUGAGUUGCGAACGGGUGAGUAACGCGUAGGUAACCUGCCUGGUAGCGGGGGAUAACUAUUGGAAACGAUAGCUAAUACCGCAUAAUAUUGAUUAUUCCAUGAUAAUUGAUUGAAAGAUGCUAUUGCAUCGCUACCAGAUGGACCUGCGUUGUAUUAGCUAGUAGGUGAGGUAACGGCUCACCUAGGCGACGAUACAUAGCCGACCUGAGAGGGUGAUCGGCCACACUGGGACUGAGACACGGCCCAGACUCCUACGGGAGGCAGCAGGAGGGAAUCUUCGGCAAUGGACGAAAGUCUGACCGAGCAACGCCGCGUGAGUGAAGAAGGUUUUCGGAUCGUAAAGCUCUGUUGUAAGGGAAGAAAGGGUGUGAGAGUGGAAAGUUCACACUGUGACGGUAUCUUACCAGAAAGGGACGGCUAACUACGUG
rnacentral:rRNA from 1 species